rnacentral:SRP_RNA from 1 species
GCCGGGUGCAGUGGCAUGUGCCUGUAAUCCAAGUCACUGGGAGGCUGAGGUUGGUGGAUCAAGUGAGCUGAGGAGCUCUGGGCUGCAGCACGCUAUGUCGAACGGGUGUCCACGCUAAGUUCGGUAUCGAUAUGGUGUUCCUGGGGGAGCCUGGGACCACCAGGUUGUCUAAGGAGGGGUGAACCGGCCCAGGUCAGAAACGAAGCAGGUCAAAUCCCCCGUGCUGUCCAGUAGUGGGAUAAUACCUGUGAGUAGAUGCUGCAGUGCAGCCUUGGCAAAACAUCGAGACCUAAUCUUUU